rnacentral:rRNA from 1 species
UACGAAGGGGGCGAGCGUUGUUCGGAAUUACUGGGCGUAAAGGGCGCGCAGGCGGUCCUUCAAGUCAGAUGUGAAAGCCCCGGGCUCAACCUGGGAACUGCAUUUGAGACUGGAGGACUUGAGUACGGAAGAGGUAUGUGGAACUCCGAGUGUAGAGGUGAAAUUCGUAGAUAUUCGGAAGAACACCAGUGGCGAAGGCGACAUACUGGUCCGUUACUGACGCUGAGGCUCGAAAGCGUGGGGAGCAAACAGG